AUCCCAUGAUGAGGACACUUAUGAAGUAACUCAUUGAAUUGCUCCCAAGCCUCAUACAAAGACUCAUCAUCUAAUUUUGGAAAGUUUUGAUCUCGUUCCUCAACUU
rfam:Gossypium hirsutum cultivar TM-1 chromosome 11, whole genome shotgun sequence